GGAACAGUGACCACGGCGUCCUUGAUUUUCUUGCCAAGGAAUGCUUCGGCUGUUUCCUUCAUCUUAGUUAGAAUCAUAGCACUGAUUUCCUCAGGGCUGAAAACCUUGGUCUCACCAUCCUUGAUCUUUACUUGAAUGUAAGGCUUUCCGUCCUUAUUCACAAUCUUGUAAGGAACAAGCUUCAUGUCUUUCUGAACCUCUUUGUCAUCAAACUUU
rnacentral:misc_RNA from 1 species